GCAUUUAGCUAGUUGGUAGGGGUAACGGGCCUACCAAGGCGAUGAUGCAUAGCCCGAGUUGAGAGACUGAUCGGGCCACAUUGGGGACUGAGACACGGGCCCAAAACUCCUACGGGGAGGCAGCAGUAGGGAAUCUUCCACAAUGGACGCAAGUCUGAUGGAGCAACGCCGCGUGAGUGAAGAAGGGUUUCGGCUCGUAAAAGCUCUGUUGUUGGUGAAGAAGGACAGGGGUAGUAACUGACCUUUGUUUGACGGUAAUCAAUUAGAAAGUCACGGCUAACUACGUGCCAGCAGCCGCGGUAAU
rnacentral:rRNA from 1 species